GUCCUUGUAGCGCAAUGGAUAGCGCUUUGGAACUCUAAUCCAAAGGUCGUGGGUUCGAAUCCUAUCUGGGAUG
rnacentral:tRNA from 1 species